CUAGAGCAGUGACCCCAGGUAUAAAGGCCCUAGAGCAGUGACCCCAUGUAUAAAGGCCCUAGAGCAGUGACCCCAUGUAUAAAGGCCCUAGAGCAGUGACCCCAUGUAUAAAGGCCCUAGAGCAGUGACCCCAUGUAUAAAGGCCCUAGAGCAGUGACCCCAUGUAUAAAGGCCCUAGAGCAGUGACCCCAUGUAUAAAGACCCUAGAGCAGUGACCCCAUGUAUAAAGGCCCUAGAGCAGUGACCCCAUGUAUAAAGACCCUAGAGCAGUGACCCCAGGUAUAAAGGCCCUAGAGCAGUGACCCCAUGUAUAAAGACCCUAGAGCAGUGACCCCAUGUAUAAAGACCCUAGAGCAGUGACCCCAGGUAUAAAGACCCUAGAGCAGUGACCCCAGGUAUAAAGGCCCUAGAGCAGUGACCCCAUGUAUAAAGGCCCUAGAGCAGUGACCCCAGGUAUAAAGGCCCUAGAGCAGUGACCCCCAGGUAUAAAGGCCCUAGAGCAGUGACCCCCAUGUAUAAAGGCCCUAGAGCAGUGACCCCAGGUAUAAAGGCCCUAGAGCAGUGACCCCAGGUAUAAAGGCCCUAGAGCAGUGACCCCAGUGACCCCAGGUAUAAAGACCCUAGAGCAGUGACCCCAGUGUAUAAAGGCCCUAGAGCAGUGACCCCAUGUAUAAAGGCCCUAGAGCAGUGACCCCAGGUAUAAAGGCCCACAUUUCACGGGUCACUUCAG